rnacentral:tRNA from 1 species
AGACUAUUAUUUGUUGAUUUGAAGUCAAUAUUUGAGUUUGCUCGUAGUUUU